UGUGUGUGUGUUUGAGGGGGUGGGGGAAACAAGGUGUAAGUCUAACGCAGACAGAUUAACAAGGGGUCGCGGGGAUGGGGAGCGGUUUGGGGUGUUGAUGGGGUUUUGUGAGCUAUUUUCUAACUGUUUAAAUCUGGGACAGUCUCCACUUCACUUCAGGCGAAUUGCUCGAAUGUGACUGUGUUCCUCCCCAGAAAAGCUGCAGCUUCCUCUUUAAUAACAAUAAAUGCUGCUCUUCCAGGGAUUGGGAAGACGCCGAGUCCCACCCUCUCCUCCUGCUGUUGCUUUGAGAACGUUACUGGCUGGUCCGUACCGUAUUGCUCUGGAGAAGGUGGCAGAACCUUCUUAAACUGCUCCAGCUCUUUGUGCACAAUGCCCUUCAGACGGGAACUCCAGGAUUUUGAUCCAGCAAUGAUGAAGGGACAGUGAUAUAUUUCCAAGUUAGGAUGAGAAUGGUGAGAACAUGGAACUCACUCCACAGGAAGUGUAUUGAAGCAGACAGCAUAGAUUAAAAGGAAAACCAGGAAUGAGGGAUGAGAGGACAGCGUGAGAUAAGAGAGGUUGUGGGAAUUUGCAGAAUGUGGAAAUGUUGGCCUGAAGGGUCUGUUUCACUGUAGCCAGCUUGAUGUAACUAUCACUUCAUAAAAUUUGAUUGUUUUGUAUCGUUUAAGCCUACAGCCUCAGACACAACAUCUCCCUCAUGGCCAGCUCUACAAUCCUCAAGUAUGCAGCUUAUCACUUUAACCAUAAAUAACAGUUAGUAAUAAACCUGGAGUUUGAGAAACCUGUUAAAAUAUGCACGAAAGCUGUGUUAGCAAAAAAAAUCAAGGGGAAAUCAAUAUUUCUGUGGGAACCAACACUCCAAACAAUAUCAGUACAGAUUAGGCUUUGAGAAGGAGAUUAAAUUGAACUCAGACUGAGAUAUAGGGGUUGGUGUGUUAAUUAAGCCAAAACACAGGGCACUGGUGGCAGUCGAAAGGGGUACGUGACAAUUCCAGACACUCACCAUUCUGAAUGGUGGGCAGUUUGAAACUGGGCUAACAAUAAAACAGAAGUCUAUUAUGCAAAAGAAGUGAAGGGAAAUUAGAAUAAACCUAACCAUGUACUCAUAGCACAAGUGUAAAAAUUCCAAAACACAUGGUGACCUACAAUCUUAUUAGUUCCAACAGCACUCCUUUACAAUAGUCAAAUACCUUCUCUAUCACACAUGAGGUUUGACUUAUUUCUGGCUUCAAUUCCCUGGUCUUGAGACUCUGUUCACCUCUUUCUUGAAUCUUCAUAUAACUGAGCUCAGACUUUCUCAGCUUCAAAUAACCCCUUCUGGAUUUUAACCUGACACUUCUUAUCUGGAACUUUAAAAUCAAACUCCUUGUGUGAAGAUAAUACUUAACAUUUAUAACAAAAUAUAAUUUCUUAAGUUAUUUCUGAAAUAUAUCCAUUUGUCAGGAGCAAUUGUUUUAUCCACCCACCUUCAGCUACAACUUCUGAAAAAUUGUCAAACUGAAACCCAAAAGCUUUCUACAGUUAUGGCUGUUUCCUAAUUAAUGGAAAAAAAAAUCAAUUUCUGACCAUCUAUAAUGAAAGCACAUCUGUUUACUUUGUUCACUUGUAAGAGCUCCCUCAAUGAAAACAAAACCCUAUGAUACACCAGGAACUCUCUCUUUCUCUCAGACUGUUUUAGAAAGAAAUCAUCACAGUUUCUGAAAUGGAAGUUGAUCAUUAAACCCCUUCAGAUGCACAGACUAAAACCCACAUGUCACUGGCUAAAAUCUAAACUCUAAAAUUAAUAAUAUUAAGAUAUAUAUAUAUAAAUUACAUACCUUACAUCAUAUAACAGAAAUUAAAUCACCUAAUGGAAUACAGUACAAAGCAUUGGAUAAGUGUUCCUCUGCUUACAGGAGGAGGUCUGAGUAAGUACCUCUUACACUUUGACCAAUAAAGAUGAUUUGCUAAUUGUCAUGCCCCAAGACUGCAACAUUUCAGGAGGCCGCUCACCACCAGCUUCUGCAGGGCAGCUAGGGAAACGGGCAACAAACACUGGCCCAGCAACCAUCACAUUCCAUUACCAAUUAGUAAACAAUCUGCGGGAGCUUGCUCUGCACAAAUUUGCAGCAGCAUUUCCUAAAAUACAGCAAUGCUGUACAUUUCAAAAAGUAGUUUCCUUGUCUGUGAAAUACUUUGGGCAUGCCACAGUUAAACAAAGAGACUAUAGAAACACAAACUCAUUCUUUUUCUGUCAUUUCCUUGUGUUGCUACAGGAAAUGUUCUUGUUUAAAUAUGAACAUGCUAUUGGCCAUUGAUAAGCUGUUUAAUAAUCCUUCAUUUAUGUUGGUGAACCUGUCACAUCAGAAACAUUUUGAUCAAUAUGUGAUUUAUGAAAACUAACAAUUUUGACUGUGUAUAUACCACUUGCUUUAAUACAGCUUAAAAUGACUUUGCAAUUUAUUUUUUGCACGGUGUAAUAUUUAUAACAAACUAAUGAUUUUAAUGUGAACCACAAUGUAUAGAUUAAUCCAGUUACAAAGAGUUACAUCAUAUAUUCCAAUACUCUAGAGAUUAAAGUGAAGAGUGAUUAAUCUGUUAAA